rnacentral:tRNA from 1 species
GGGCCAUUAGCCAAGUCAGGAUAAGGCACUCGGCUUUUAACCGAGGGAUUCGCAGGUUCAAAUCCUGCAUGGCUCACCA